CAGCUGCUGCAGCCCUGUGGGCUGCGGAGCCCGAGUUGGUCCCGAAGCGGAAGUGCUUCUUAGGGCCAGGUCUUGUACUGGUCUCCUCUGCAGUGAGCAGAAAAUCUAUUGUCGAGAGGCACAGUGACCUGCGCUAAGGGUUCAUACGCACUCCUCAGGUCCCUCCUUAGGCGCGCCCCACCUCUCCCUGUGCCCCUCUCCCCUUGCCCACGCCCCCAGGUAGGGGCCUGGUGUGAAUGCUCCAGCCGAAGUGAAUCUGCACCCGAAGGCUUCCUUCUGGCUCCUGGGCAAGCCGGCCCCAGUGAGCUCGGGCUUCGCACAUCUCUGCCUUUUCCCAAGAAGAGCAGGAAAUGGCCAAACCCCAGG